ensembl:lncRNA
UAGGAGACGUGAAGUGUUUUAAUAGCUAAAUGAAAUUUGGCUCCAAACUUGUAUCGUCUGCUGACUGACACUCUCCGAGCCGACAAACAGCUGAGGAACCAGCCGACUGAGCAUGCGCACUUACGGUCCGAUCCGAGGCUCACUCCGACUCUCCGGUCCGUCAGCCGAUCCAAUCCCCGAGCUCACGAGGGAGCGCCUGGUCGCGACCUGCCGUAAACUGCUGCGGCUGUAGCUGUUGUCAGUGGGCGGACCGGAAACACGAGCGCUUAGACCGGAAGAAGCAGCGCAACUGCCGGGUCACCCUAAUCCUUCAUUGCCCUGAAGAAUUCUGUGGUGUACGGACCUCCUCUCCAAGGAAAGAAAAUGCAGAGAAGACUCACCACUCAGCAGGCCUUGGAAAUGAUCCUGAGGGAAGUCGACCCUUGUGACUCGGAUGGAGAAGACCUAGGAGUUCAGCCGGAUUCGGACUCAGAGCUGUCUGAUCAGUCUUCCGAUGAGGAGACUGCUUCUCCACCGAAAAAGAGAGCUUGUUUGGGGACUGAGACAGCGAAAGAUGGCACAGUGUGGCGUGAAGAACAGGUGAGGGCCCGUCUCCCUUUCACCCCGAUAGAAGCGUACGCUGCAGAUGGAGAGCCAACGGCUAAGGCCAGGAGAAGGAUCUCGAGUCGCCUUCAGAGCUUCCUGUGUUUCAUCACUCUUGACAUGCUUCAUAGCAUUCAAGAAUGGACUAUUCAACAUGCACAGCAAACGGAGCAUGUUCAUUGGUUCAUGGACCUCCCAUGGAUACCAUGGCAGUGCCAGGAUUGUGAGUGAUUGCUGAAAAUGUUGAAAUGUACUCACUCACUUUUUAUUAUUAUUUGUAAAUAUGUGUACAAAUGGUUGGUUUUUUGUACUGUUUUUAUCAAUAAAUCUCAGC